UACGUAGGGGGCUAGCGUUGUCCGGAAUCAUUGGGCGUAAAGAGCGCGUAGGCGGCCCUGUAAGUCCGCUGUGAAAGUCAAGGGCUCAACCCUUGAAUGCCGGUGGAUACUGCAGGGCUAGAGUCCGGAAGAGGCGAGUGGAAUUCCUGGUGUAGCGGUGAAAUGCGCAGAUAUCAGGAGGAGCACCGAUGGCGAAGGCAGGUCUCUGGGCAUUAACUGACGCUGAGGAGCGAAAGCAUGGGGAGCGAACAGG
rnacentral:rRNA from 1 species